AUUGAACGCUGGCGGCAGGCCUAACACAUGCAAGUCGCACGAGUGGCGGACGGGUGAGUAAUGUCUGGGAAACUGCCUGAUGGAGGGGGAUAACUACUGGAAACGGUAGCUAAUACCGCCUACCAUCGGAUGUGCCCCGAUGGGAUUAGCUAGUAGGUGGGGUAACGGCUCACCUAGUUGACGAUCCCUCGCUGGUCUGAGCGGAUGCCCAGCCACACGGGUACUGAGACACGGUCCAGACGCAUCCGGGAGGCAGCAGUGGGGACUAUUGCACAAUGGGCGCAAGCCUGAUGCAGCCAUGCCGCGUGUAUGAAGAAGGCCUUCGGGUUGUAAAGUACUUUCAGCGGGGAGGCGUUACCCGCAGAAGAAGCACCGGCUAACUCCGUGCCAGCAGCCGCGGUAAUUC
rnacentral:rRNA from 1 species